rnacentral:rRNA from 1 species
AUUGAACGCUGGCGGCAUGCCUUACACAUGCAAGUCGAACGUGAAAGCGGGGCAACCCGCAAGUAGAGUGGCGGACGGGUGAGUAAUACAUCGGAACGUGUCCAGUAAUGGGGGAGUAACCUAGCGAAAGUUAGGCUAAUACCGCAUACGAUCUGCGGAUGAAAGGCGGGGGAGUGCGGCACUAAAGGCUUUUGGCGAAGGUGGCCAAAGGUGAGUCAAGAGCUUUUAGUGCUGCACCUCGCGUUAUUGGAGCGGCUGAUGUCUGAUUAGCUAGUUGGUGAGGUAAAGGCUUACCAAGGCGACGAUCAGUAGCUGGUCUGAGAGGACGGCCAGCCACACUGGGACUGAGACA